AUCGGGCGGGCGGGGGAUCCAGGUGGGAGCCUUGUUUGACCACCUGCAUAGGCAUGGCCCAGAAAGACACACAUUCAGGAGGAAGUGGCCCUGGGGACGGCUGGGCUGUGAAAAGCGAGGUUGAAUUCCUGGACGUGACGGAGGCGGGCUGCCCCAUGACCCAGGGAACUCAGAAGCCAGAUGGUCCAUCCAAUGCCAUGUGUCGUCAGGUUGUGGAGGAGCAGGGGCUGAUCUGCUCACCAUCAGAUAAGAUGUCCUUUCCUUGGUGGCCCAGAUGUGUGGUACUGAGAAGUUCUCGUGGGAACAAUGUCCAUUUGGUUUCCUGUGAGUGAAUGGAUUUUUAAAAGGUCCCCUGUACCAAGAUUUUGUUUUAAUAAAUCCAUUGUUAGAGAUUAUUUUCACAGGCUAUGAGAAUGAGAAAUAGAGUCCUUUGAAGUCAACAGUAAAGAGAAGCAUCAAUUGGAGCCCACACCGCACUCUUCUUAUACAAAAAGCCCCCAGUUGUAUAUUACUCUGCAUCUGGCUGUUUUCCUGGAACCAUGUUUCCUACAGGCUGGCCCGGAUUCCUCCCUCCCAGCAACGGAGCAGAUUGCUGGACCCCACGGAGCGUUGGGAAAAUCUUUGGGAGAUUUCCAGUCACAAGCCGAUGCGGGAGAUGAAGCCGCCAGAACCGCUGAUCACUGGCAGGCUGGCCCUGAACUGCGCGCCCCGCCCUCCGCUGGCCGCUUGGCACACACGGCCGGUCCUCCAGCUGGUGAGUCACUGGACACUUAUUCAUCACACAGCAGGCAGCGGAAGGUGCCAGAAGGGUGUGCCGGGCAAGGAGCUGGGCCGGUCCUGCAGCCCUGGGUGCUGGUGAGUCACUGCUGCCAGGCGCUGAGCCGGGUGCCGAGGGAGGCAAGGCCCUGGCCAAGAAAGGCCAAGGCUGGCAUCUGUUUCUGCUCCACCCUCGCUGGGGGGGCCGGCAGGCGGGGGAGCAGGACCUCUCCUCUGUGUGCCCUCCAUCCUGCUGUCCCUGCCAGUGCAUACACAUGCACGUGAGCACAGUGUAACAGCACACACGUGCGCACAUGCACACACAUACACACACACACACACACACACAUGUACACGCACUAGCUAAUUCCAAGCACGUGAUCAGACGCAGAGCGGCUGCAGGUUAGGACACAGGCCUUGGAGGCUCACCUCCCUGCUCCUUCGAGGUGAACGGAGCUGCAAGUCCCCCCCCACUGCUUCCGGGGAGACCUCCUCCCACCUGCCCCGGCCCUCCAGGCAGCCCGGCCCGGCCCCAGCCCUGUGCCAGCACCGGAGGGCGGGGCCCAGUUCAGGUAGGAAGUCAUCAGCCCUGGGCUCCAACCCUGCCUCCACUGCACACACCCGACCCGGGGCCUCAGUUUCCUCUCCUGGCACGGGGCCAUCUGAUGCUGGUAGAAGUUCCCCAUUCUCAGGGAGCACUGCCGGGGCUGGUGGGAGCACCAGGCAUCACGCCAGCGAUUUCAGGGGUUCUGGCCCGAAGGACCCUCUGGGCCUCUCAAGCCUCCCGAUCCUGCCUGUGGAAACCUGGGUCCCCGCAGAUGGUCCGCAGCCCUCUGCUCCGACUCAAAGGUACCGCCUUAGCAGCUCCUCGCGUCAAGGACAUCAAUGGCUCACACAGGCCUCCUGAAAAGCAUGUCCUUUGCCAGCAACCCCAGGACAGACCCCUCGGCUGUCCCCAAGGCAACAGACUGCAAAAGGUGCCCACCUGGCCGCCGGCGUUGCGACCCUGGCCUUCCCUCCCGGCUCCUUGCCCCUGCCGCUGCCUCCUCUAAUUAGCUGGACAGGCUCUCCCAUCCGCUCCCGGCCGCCUGUCUCGCUUCGGCCGGCACGCACGGUCCCGGUUAAAUUGGCUGUGGCAGGCCGUAAUAAAGAAGAAAACAGCGGCUGCAUCAGGCUGUUCCGAGGAGCCGCCGAUGCUCACGCGGGAAGGGUCGGGAAAGGAGCCAUUCAAUUAAGGUCGUACGGCCGCUCGGCGGCUCCAGGCCUGAGCUGCGCAUCUCGGAGCUUCGGAGAUGACUGACCGAGAGUUUCCUCAGGUCCUGUCUCCCACAAGGCUGUCCGUCUGCUCUUGUCCUGCGAGGGCUGGUCUGAAAGCUGCCCCAGGCAGGGGUCCUCAAAGUUCAGUUCUGCAAAUGUUUAACGCGCGCCCAGCUCUGUGCCGAGGGUCCAAAGAUGACACCCCUGCCCCCAAGGGGCCCCCAGUCCAGCAAAGGAGACGGAGACAGACAGUUCCAGACGGUGCUCGCGAGUCCCAAUUCCCAGAUACAAAACCAGCAGCUAAUUUCACCCACAAAAAUGCAAUAAAAUAGCAAAAAAACGUAGGCAGCCUCUGGAGCCAUUAAUGAUUCUAUCAAUACAGACUUAAAGUAACCGGAAAGGCGGUUUUCUGGGUACCGAACGUCUGUUCCUACCUUCCCCUGCUCUGGCUCUCCGCCCUGGGUGGGCUUCUGCGGGGCCAUUUUUCACAAAGGAAGCCAAAAGGCACACACACGAGUGUGACACCCAGAGAGCCUCUGCGGACAGUGAAGGAGGUGUAGACGUUGGGAGUUAGUGUACAGAUCCCUGCUCCAGCCCGGCGGCUGUGUGACGGAGGCCCCUCAACCGACCUGGAGGCGCGUGGGUUCCACAGCCGUAGAAGGGGGGUUGAAUGGGACCCACACUUGGAUCACCUUGAGGAACACCCAAGCCAGCCUUGGGAACGCACCAAGGCAGGGAGGCCACACACAGGCUGGGGCCAGACGCCUCGGAGUGGGCAUGGCAGGGGCCGUGGGAUGUGGCCACUGUGCAUCAGCGGGCCCAGCUAGCUGCUCCUCAGCAUGCCCGAGUACUGGACACAGUGGUGGUGGCUCCAGACUGAGCCCCUUGAGCGCAUUACCUCAUUUGGUCACCUCAGCAAUCCUGCUACUCAGGCUGGGGGCAGUCAGGUAACCCCCAGCAAGCCUCGGAGGCACGCUGGCAGUGCUGACCGCCUUGUCAUGCUCACGGACCAGGCUCAUAGACCACGGGGCAAUGACUGGAGCAACGACCCUGUCAAGGAGCCAUGAGGCCACGCGUUCAGGAGGAAAUUGCAAAGAACCCUCUGGUGCUCGUCUCCAACACCACACGGCUGAAGCCUCAUGCCCUCGCUGACUGUUCUCUCCGCCUGGCACACUGGCCCCAGGUGUUCACCUGGCUGAUUUCUUCUCCACCUGCAG